rnacentral:lncRNA from 10 species
AGAUGCGGUUUUCCUAGGUUGCUCCUGCUGGUCUCCGACUCCUGAGCUCAAGUAAUCCUCCUGCCUCAGCCUCCCAAAGUGCUAGGAUUGCAGGUAAAUGAUGUCUUGCUUGGGAAUAGAACCCUUGGAGCGUGUAGAUGGGAUACCACGGUCUUCCAGCUCCUAUUGCAGGAUGUUUGCAACUGCAGCAGCAGAGAAUGAGGAAAGCAGGAGUGUGAUGGAGUCAAGGAAAAAGAAGAAAGCAGUGUUAAACCGUCACUGCAGUGAUUCCAUUUAUGAAGAUCCUGGUACCUAGUCCAUCACUUACAGAAUCUAUACCACUCAUUGCCCUAGGAACAGUAUCUUGGGGGAAGCUCUGGACAUGAACAAAUGCUUUCAGGUCUCCAGACCCUUUGAUUCUUAAGUGAAUCUUUGAAAUCAUGCCCUAGGACCACAGAAGCUAAUGGAAUUUCUCACAUUUCAUGGAUGAUCAAGAGUAAGCAACAUCUCUCCCAGAUUUCCUGGACAACCAGCAGGAGAAGUGACUUUCAACUAGGAUUCUCCUAAGAUGACCACGUGAAAUACUUCUGAUUAUCUACUUUGAUGAAAAUGGCUUAGCCUGGAGUCUUUGACCAUGAUUAACACCCAUGUCUAUGAAAUCACACCUGCAGGCCUACCUGGGGAGCAGUGGUUAUGAGGAGAGCACGCUUAGCACACCGAUGGGCUGGACCCCUAGUGUAAAGGCUACCACACUCCCAAUGGUGUGCAUGUGUGCACAGGUCAGGUUCUGGGCCACUGUGGGACAUCACGUGGAUGAAGGGCAGAGGUUCAGGGCAUACAGCAAGUAAAAAGCAGAGCUGGGACUCGACUAUUUGGGUUUCCUUGUGUUCCUGGGCUCUGUCUGCUGUCCAGGGAAUCUCCCUGUCUGUUUCCAGAGUUGUCUAGGUUGCCAGGGAAGGCCUGCUCACCUCUGGGUGCCCUCCAAUUCCAGCUUUAUGCAAAGAGGGAUAUGAGGCUUACCCCUGUCUUCACGGGCUCAUGGUUGGCAGCUGUGGCCCUGGUCAAUUGGUGCCCUCCCUUGCCACCCAACACCUCCCAGCCAGCUCAGUGAGAAGCAUAAACGCGUGUCGACUUACGGGUCUUUCUAGCUGAGUCUUCAAUGAAGAGCGAGGAGAUAUCUUCAUCCACACCCACUUCAUUUUUGGCAAUGCAGGUGUAUGCCCCUGUGUCUUCAUACCGAACACUGCUGAUGUGGAGUUCGCUCCCAUUGGCUGCAGACAGGACAGUGCUCAGGGUGGACUGCUCAGCUGGAGACCCACUCACUUUCCUUUAUGGGGCCAUUGAGAGUGUUAGGGCUGCCCAGCCCCUGGGCAGCCAGCAGCCCUGAUUAUACGCCCAGGAAGGGCUGGCACAUCUGAAAUGCACUGAGGGUGAGCUGGACCUGAGUGACAGCUUCUCAUCAUUGCUGUCAGAAAGCCCCAAAAGAUCUGUGUGAGCCCAGAUAACAGGGAAAUUUGGGAGCCAUCUGUUCACUCCUAACCUGUCUGACUUAUAAACAAAUUAUACCUCUCGUUUCCAUUCCUGGAGUCUCAGCUUGAUUUGAAUGGGAAUAUCGCAUAGACGUCUACCAAGGGCAGUUCUUACCUAAAAGGGAGAGCUGUUUGGACAUCUGAGUUGAGACAUCCACGCCGUUUUUCAGCCAAGUGAUUCUGGGCAUGGGAAUGCCCUCAGCAUG